AUGCACGCUGGCGGCGUGCCUCAUACAUGCAAGUCGAGCGCACGGACGAGAAGCUUGCUUCUCUGAUGUUAGCGGCGGACGGGUGAGUAACACGUGGAUAACCUACCUAUAAGACUGGGAUAACUUCGGGAAACCGUAGCUAAUACCGGAUAAUAUUUUGAACCGCAUGGUUCAAAAGUGAAAGACGGUCUUGCUGUCACUUAUAGAUGGAUCCGCGCUGCAUUAGCUAGUUGGUAAGGUAACGGCUUACCAAGGCAACGAUGCAUAGCCGACCUGAGAGGGUGAUCGGCCACACUGGAACUGAGACACGGUCCAGACUCCUACGGGAGGCAGCAGUAGGGAAUCUUCCGCAAUGGGCGAAAGCCUGACGGAGCAACGCCGCGUGAGUGAUGAAGGUCUUCGGAUCGUAAAACUCUGUUAUUAGGGAAGAACAUAUGUGUAAGUAACUGUGCACAUCUUGACGGUACCUAAUCAGAAAGCCACGGCUAACUACGUG
rnacentral:rRNA from 1 species